rnacentral:rRNA from 1 species
GUUGAACGCUGGCGGCAUGCCUAACACAUGCAAGUCGAGCGGAGGAGGGGAGCUUGCUCCUGGGUUCAGCGGCGGACGGGUGAGUAAUGCCUAGGAAUCUGCCUGGUGGUGGGGGAUUAAGUCCUGAAACGGGCGCUAAUACCGCGUACCUCCUUUGGGCGAAAGUGGGGGUUCUUCGGACCUCAUUCUAUCAGAUGAGCCUACGUCGGCUUAGCUAGUUGGUGGGGUAAAGGCCUACCAAGGCGACGAUCCGUAACUGGGCUGAGAGGAGGAUCAGUCACACGGGAGCUGAGACACGGACCAGAGUACUACGGGAGGCAGCAGUGGGGAAUAUUGGACAGUGGGCGAAAGCCUGAUACAGCCAUGCCGAGUGUGUGACGAAGGUCUUCGGAUUGUAAAGCACUUUAAGUUGGGAGGAAGGGCAGUAAGUUAAUAAGUUGCUGUAUUGACGUUACCAACAGAAUAAGCACCGGCUAACUUCGUG